rnacentral:rRNA from 1 species
AUUGAACGCUGGCGGCAGGCUUAACACAUGCAAGUCGAGCGGGGUGAUGGUGCUUGCACUAUCACUUAGCGGCGGACGAGUGAGUAAUGCUUAGGAAUCUGCCUAUUAGUGGGGGACAACAUCUCGAAAGGGAUGCUAAUACCGCAUACGUCCUACGGGAGAAAGCAGGGGAUCACUUGUGACCUUGCGCUAAUAGAUGAGCCUAAGUCGGAUUAGCUAGUUGGUGGGGUAAAGGCCUACCAAGGCGACGAUCUGUAGCGGGUCUGAGAGGAUGAUCCGCCACACUGGGACUGAGACACGGCCCAGACUCCUACGGGAGGCAGCAGUGGGGAAUAUUGGACAAUGGGGGGAACCCUGAUCUAGCCAUGCCGCGUGUGUGAAGAAGGCCUUAUGGUUGUAAAGCACUUUAAGCGAGGAGGAGGCUCUUUUGGUUAAUACCCAAGAUGAGUGGACGUUACUCGCAGAAUAAGCACAUGCUAACUCUGUGCCAGCCGCCGCCGUAA